rnacentral:rRNA from 1 species
UCCUACGGGAGGCAGCAGUGGGGAAUAUUGCACAAUGGGGGAAACCCUGAUGCAGCGACGCCGCGUGAGUGAAGAAGUAUUUCGGUAUGUAAAGCUCUAUCAGCAAGGAAGAAAAUGACGGUACUUGACUAAGAAGCCCCGGCUAACUACGUGCCAGCAGCCGCGGUAAUACGUAGGGGGCAAGCGUUAUCCGGAUUUACUGGGUGUAAAGGGAGCGUAGACGGCAUAGUAAGUCUGAUGUGAAAGCCCGGGGCUCAACCCCGGGACUGCAUUGGAAACUACUAAGCUAGAGUGCAGGAGAGGUAAGUGGAAUUCCUAGUGUAGCGGUGAAAUGCGUAAAUAUUAGGAGGAACACCAGUGGCGAAGGCGACUUACUGGACUGUAACUGACCUUGAGGCUCGAAAGCGUGGGGAGCAAACAAGAUUACAUACCCUGGGCUCCACGCCCUAAACGAUGAAUACUACCUGUCGGGGAGUACUGCUCUUCCCAGCCGCCCCUCACCCCGUAAGUAUUCCACCAUGGUCAGGUUUUCCCCCAAAAAAAAUCACUCAUGAAUGCAGUCGCACGAACGAAUGGGUAAAUCCUGUAACCUGCAGUACUAUUCCCCUCUAGUUAGGGUCAAGGCUCGAACCUGGUUUACUGUG